AGCAGCCGCGGUAAUUCCAGCUCCAAUAGCGUAUAUUAAAGUUGUUGCAGUUAAAAAGCUCGUAGUUGAAUUUCGGGAUCAAUAUGUCGGUCGUGCCUUCGGUACGUACUGGUAUCAUUGGUCUCUCCUUUCUGACGAACCAUGAUGUCAUUAAUUUGGUGUUAUGGGGGAUUAGGACUGUUACUUUGAAAAAAUUAGAGUGUUUAAAGCAGGCUUUAGCUUGAAUACAUUAGCAUGGAAUAAUGAAAUAGGACGUUCGAACCUAUUUUGUUGGUUUCUAGGAUCAACGUAAUGAUUAAUAGGGAUAGUUGGGGGCAUUAGUAUUCAAUUGUCAGAGGUGAAAUUCUUGGAUUUAUUGAAGAC
rnacentral:rRNA from 1 species